rnacentral:tRNA from 1 species
GAGGGGAUAGUUUAAAAUAAGUAACGUUUGCUUGUCAAGUAAAAAGUACCUUUUAGGUUCUUCUCU